GAAAGCAGGAGCAGGAAAGCAGCAGCACAGGGCUGCAGUCAAUGUGGUUGCUAGCUUUUUAAUCCAGAGGAAGGGACCCUUCCUCCCAGCCCAUCAGAACAGAUGGUGAAGAAGAGUGAGGAAAACAGAAGGAGGGGGAAGAUGUGGUCACUAUUCCCAGCAGGAAGCAGAGAUUCCCUCUGUUUCUUGCUGCAACAAUCAGUGGUUGAAUCAGCAGAGGAGAUGCUAUACCCUAGUCAGAGCACAAGAGGUGAGAGAACAACCAGAGGAACAAUUUGAUGGAAGGGGAAUAUUACAUUGACUUAACAGACAAGAUUUUAUCCCGUAUUUCUGGCUUAGAAGUUGACAUGAGCUUGUAUCUUCAAAGAAAUCCAGCUACUUGCUUCUGGAGACCUGGAUGAGAAAUGUUCUUAUAGCUGGGUUGUGAUUGGAUUCCGUGUCUGUUUUUCAUGAGAGUUUGGCUCCAGUCUUGUUGUCUGUUUGUCUGUUUAAAACAUAAAUAAACAACUGUGUUUACUGGUA